rnacentral:lncRNA from 1 species
UAAUGAGAGAAAUGACCACAGUAGGGGUGGGGGAGAAGAGGCAGGGCCUUAGGGGAUCUGUCUCCUGUCCUCCCUGCCCCCAACCAAGGUCUUAGCUGCCUCAGCUGUAGCUCUGAGCUCCUUAAUCUGAUGAUCAGUGCGGUGCUGGGGGGCGGGCUGGCAGAGGCUUUAGGAGGUAACAGGGGAUCUUAGGAGUCGCACUCUGCUAACAGAGCGUCACUGAGUAUCACACAAAGCCUGGGAAUCACAUUCCAAGCGCGGCUCCCCCUUCCAGAAGCAGCAGCCCCAGCUGGGCUAGACCCAGCAUGGGUGGUGCCUGGUCGAGGGCUGGGACUCAGGCCCUGCUUGCAGUUGGGCGUCACCUUGCUCUUUGUUCUUCAGGAGGAAAGUUUCCAAGAUUAAGGCUUUCCAGCCCUUUCUGCAUGGCUGAGGUUUUAUUGUUUGGUAGCUGCCCCCAACCUUACCCAAGUGCUCAAAUCCACUGGCUACCAAUCCCAGCUAGAAGUCAUUUGUACAUUGCAGGUAUUCAUUCCCCAGGUCAGCUAGAAAAAUGCUGUCAAGGUGAUCAGGGGAUGGAGAUUUGUUCUAGAACUAAGUGAGACUGCUGUAUAGUAUGCCUUCCUUAUCAGAUGGAGCUAUCCUUAGAGAACCCAAGGAGUUCCAAAAUUGAGGCUAGGAUGCCGAAUGAAAGCCCACAUGAUUCUAAGACUUAUCCCAGCAAGAUGAUGGUAGCUCAGGCCCAAAACUUUGGCUGGGGAGGAAGAGGUGCUGUGGGCAGGGCCCAACCCAGAAUUACUGUGCAGUAGAUGUCUCAGAGCCUCUAUACCCUCAUCUGAAAAAUGGGAAUUGUUUUUACCUAUGGAGUUGCUGUGAGGAGUGUCAGAUACAUGGAUACCACUAAAUAGGGUUAAUAUUACUUCACUCUUUCCCUGAGGUAUAGGGCAGAUAUGAAGGAGGUGAAUUUCUCAAGGUCAUUUAGUAUAUCUGUGGUUUGGGGGUAGGGUGGGGACAGUAGUUAUAUUCAGAAUAUUUAAUCUCUGGUACAGCCUGGGCACCAACUAGUCAGAAU